UCCUACGGGGGGCAGCAGUGAGGAAUAUUGGUCAAUGGCCGAGAGGCUGAACCAGCCAAGUCGCGUGAGGGAAGACGGCCCUACGGGUUGUAAACCUCUUUUGUCGGGGAGCAAAGCGAGUCACGUGUGACUCAUUGAGAGUACCCGAAGAAAAAGCAUCGGCUAACUCCGUGCCAGCAGCCGCGGUAAUACGGAGGAUGCGAGCGUUAUCCGGAUUUAUUGGGCGUAAAGCGAGUGCAGGCGGUUCAAUAAGUCUGAUGUGAAA
rnacentral:rRNA from 1 species